rnacentral:rRNA from 1 species
AGAGUUUGAUCCUGGCUCAGAUUGAACGCUGGCGGCAGGCCUAACACAUGCAAGUCGAGCGAGAAAGGUCUUCGGACUGAGUACAGCGGCGGACGGGUGAGUAAAGCGUAGGAAUCUACCUGGUAAUGGGGGAUAACUUGGGGAAACUCAAACUAAUACCGCAUACGCCCUACGGGGGAAAGCGGGGGACCUUCGGGCCUCGCGUUAUCAGAUGAGCCUGCGUAGGAUUAGCUAGUUGGUGAGGUAAAGGCUCACCAAGGCGACGAUCCUUAGCUGGUCUGAGAGGAUGAUCAGCCACACUGGGACUGAGACACGGCCCAGACUCCUACGGGAGGCAGCAGUGGGGAAUAUUGCGCAAUGGGCGAAAGCCUGACGCAGCCAUGCCGCGUGUGUGAAGAAGGCCCUAGGGUUGUAAAGCACUUUCAAUUGGGAAGAAAAGUUGGUCGUUAAUAGCGGCCAGCCUUGACAUUACCUUUAGAAGAAGGACCGGCUAACUCCGUGCCAGCAGCCGCGGUAAUACGGAGGGUCCGAGCGUUAAUCGGAAUUACUGGGCGUAAAGCGCGCGUAGGCGGUGUGUUAAGUCAGCUGUGAAAGCCCUGGGCUCAACCUGGGAACUGCAGUUGAUACUGGCACACUAGAGUAUGAAAGAGGGAGGUAGAAUUCCAUGUGUAGCGGUGAAAUGCGUAGAUAUAUGGAGGAAUACCAGUGGCGAAGGCGGCCUCCUGGUUCAGUACUGACGCUGAGGUGCGAAAGCGUGGGGAUCAACAGGAUUAGAUACCCUGGUAGUCCACGCCGUAAACGAUGUCUACUAGCCGUUGGGAGACUUGA